rnacentral:rRNA from 1 species
AGAGUUUGAUCCUGGCUCAGAUUGAACGCUGGCGGCGUGCCUAACACAUGCAAGUCGAGCGGUAACAGGUGUAGCAAUACACGCUGACGAGCGGCGAGCGGGUGAGUAAUGCUUUGGAAUCUUCCCAGUAGUGGGGAAUAACCAGUCGAAAGAUUGGCUAAUACCGCAUACGUCUGUGAAGAGAAAGCGGGGGAUCGCAAGACCUCGCGCUAUUGGAUGAGCCAAAGUCGGAUUAGCUAGUUGGUGGGGUAAUGGCCUACCAAGGCGACAAUCCGUAGCUGGUCUGAGAGGACGACCAGCCACACCGGAACUGAGACACGGUCCGGACUCCUACGGGAGGCAGCAGUGGGGAAUAUUGGACAAUGGGGGAAACCCUGAUCCAGCGACGCCGCGUGUGUGAAGAAGGCCUGCGGGUUGUAAAGCACUUUUAGUGGGGACAAAAAGUCACGGGCUAACACCCUGUGAUCUUGAUUUAACUCACAGAAAAAGCACCGGCUAACUCUGUGCCAGCAGCCGCGGUAAUACAGAGGGUGCGAGCGUUAAUCGGAAUUACUGGGCGUAAAGCGCGCGUAGACGGUUUGGUAAGUCAGAUGUGAAAUCCCCGGGCUCAACCUGGGAACUGCAUUUGAUACUGCCUGGCUAGAGUAUGGAAGAGGGAAGUGGAAUUUCCGGUGUAGCGGUGAAAUGCGUAGAUAUCGGAAGGAACACCAGUGGCGAAAGCGACUUCCUGGUCCAAUACUGACGUUCAUGUGCGAAAGCGUGGGGAGCAAACAGGAUUAGAUACCCUAGUAGUCC